AUGGAGUCAAACAUACUCCUGCUAUGGGUGCUGCUGCUCUGGGUUCCAGGCUCCACUGGUGACAUUGUGCUGACCCAAUCUCCAGCAUCUGUGGCUGUGUCUCUAGGGCAGAAAGCCACCAUCUCCUGCAAGGCCAGCAAAAAAGUCACUAUAUUUGGCUCUAUAAGUGCUCUGCACUGGUACCAACAGAAACCAGGACAGCCACUCAAACUCAUCUAUAAUGGAGCCAAACUAGAAUCUGGGAUCAGUGCCAGGUUCAGUGGCAGUGGGUCUCAGAACCGCUCACCAUUUGGAAAUCAGCCCAGCUUCACCCUUACCAUUGAUCCUGUGGAGGCUGAUGAUGCAGCAACCUAUUACUGUCUGCAAAAUAAAGAGGUUCCUCCCACAGUGCUCCAGGGAUGA